UGUAGCUUCUCUCUUUUAUUUAUUCUUUUCUCCAACACAUCAGUGGCCCUCCAGCUGUUGAGUGGGGAGAGUGACAGGUUCAAUGAGAAGGACAUUCAGAUGCAUCCACAGAGGACUUUUCACCAGUACUCAUGUCUCCUUUCUGGAUCCUCAGCCCUCUGUUCUUUUCAAAGUCAUGAAGCUUUCAUUGUGUCCUAUGCUUUGGAAACUGCUGAGGAUCAGGACUCUUUGCCUUCUCUAGAGAUCUCACCAUCAGCUUUCUUAUUCCUGGCUCUUUCCAGUGUCCUUUAGAGAAUGUCAACCCUGGGGACUAGAAAGGGAAGGCAAUGUUGUUUGGGAGCUAAGCCAAGGCUGCAAAUUCUGUGUGAAGCCUGUCCCUGCCAUGACUGGUGCACGACCUGAGGUGAGUUACAUA
rnacentral:lncRNA from 10 species